rnacentral:rRNA from 1 species
GUGAACGCCGGCGGUAGGCCUAACACAUGCAAGUCGAACGGCAGCACAGUAAGAGCUUGCUCUUACGGGUGGCGAGUGGCGGACGGGUGAGGAAUACAUCGGAAUCUACUUUUUCGUGGGGGAUAACGUAGGGAAACUUACGCUAAUACCGCAUACGACCUACGGGUGAAAGCAGGGGAUCUUCGGACCUUGCGCGAUUGAAUGAGCCGAUGUCGGAUUAGCUAGUUGGCGGGGUAAAGGCCCACCAAGGCGACGAUCCGUAGCUGGUCUGAGAGGAUGAUCAGCCACACUGGAACUGAGACACGGUCCAGACUCCUACGGGAGGCAGCAGUGGGGAAUAUUGGACAAUGGGCGCAAGCCUGAUCCAGCCAUACCGCGUGGGUGAAGAAGGCCUUCGGGUUGUAAAGCCCUUCUGUUGGGAAAGAAAAGCAGCAGGUUAAUACCCCGCUGUUCUGACGGUACCCAAAGAAUAAGCACCGGCUAACUUCGUG